rnacentral:rRNA from 1 species
AACGAACGUUGGCGGCAUGCCUAACACAUGCAAGUCGAACGAGACCUUCGGGUCUAGUGGCGCACGGGUGCGUAACGCGUGGGAACCUGCCCUUAGGUUCGGAAUAACUCACCGAAAGGGGUGCUAAUACCGGAUAAUGUCUUCGGACCAAAGAUUUAUCGCCUUUGGAUGGGCCCGCGUUGGAUUAGCUAGUUGGUAGGGUAAAAGCCUACCAAGGCGACGAUCCAUAGCUGGUCUGAGAGGAUGAUCAGCCACACUGGGACUGAGACACGGCCCAGACUCCUACGGGAGGCAGCAGUGGGGAAUAUUGGACAAUGGGCGAAAGCCUGAUCCAGCAAUGCCGCGUGAGUGAUGAAGGCCUUAGGGUUGUAAAGCUCUUUUACCCGGGAUGAUAAUGACAGUACCGGGAGAAUAAGCUCCGGCUAACUCCGUG